CAUGUAGGCGGCGGCUUAAGUCGGACGUGAAAGCUCCCGGCUCAACUGGGAGAGGCCGUUCGAAACUAGGUCGCUCGAGGAUGGUAGAGGAAAGUGGAAUUCCCGGUGUAGUGGUGAAAUGCGUAGAUAUCGGGAGGAACACCAGUGGCGAAGGCGGCUUUCUGGGCCAUUCCUGACGCUGAGAUGCGAAAGCUAGGGGAGAGAACG
rnacentral:rRNA from 1 species